rnacentral:rRNA from 1 species
UACUCUUCGGGGUUGUAGGACUGCAAUGUGGACUCAAAGAUUAUAGAAGAAUGAUUUGGGAAGAUCAGCCAAAGAGAGUAAUAGCCUCGUAUUUAAAAUAGUCUUUGUACCUAGCAGUAUCCUGAGUACGGCGGGACACGUGAAAUCCCGUCGGAAUCUGGGAGGACCAUCUCCCAACCCUAAAUACUCCCUAGUGACCGAUAGUGAACCAGUACCGUGAGGGAAAGGUGAAAAGCACCCCGGGAGGGGAGUGAAAUAGAACCUGAAACCGUGUGCCUACAACAAGUUCGAGCCCGUUAAUGGGUGAGAGCGUGCCUUUUGUAGAAUGAACCGGCGAGUUACGUUAUGAUGCGAGGUUAAGUUGAAGAGACGGAGCCGUAGGGAAACCGAGUCUGAAUAGGGCGCCUUAGUAUCAUGACGUAGACCCGAAACCAUGUGACCUACCCAUGAGCAGGUUGAAGGUGCGGUAAGACGCACUGGAGGACCGAACCAGGGCACGUUGAAAAGUGCUUGGAUGACUUGUGGGUAGCGGAGAAAUUCCAAACGAACUUGGAGAUAGCUGGUUCUCUCCGAAAUAGCUUUAGGGCUAGCGUCGACAUUAGAGAUUCUUGGAGGUAGAGCACUGUUUGGGUGAGGGGUCCAUCCCGGAUUACCAAUCUCAGAUAAACUCCGAAUGCCAAUGAAUUAUGGUCGGCAGUCAGACUGCGAGUGCUAAGAUCCGUAGUCGAAAGGGAAACAGCCCAGACCACCAGCUAAGGUCCCAAAAUAAUUGUUAAGUGGAAAAGGAUGUGGGGUUGCACAGACAACUAGGAUGUUAGCUUAGAAGCAGCUAUUCAUUCAAAGAGUGCGUAAUAGCUCACUAGUCGAGUGACCCUGCGCCGAAAAUGUACCGGGGCUAAAACAAUUUACCGAAGCUGUGGAUACCUUUAUAGGUAUGGUAGGAGAGCGUUCUAUGUGUGAUGAAGGUAUACCGUGAGGAGUGCUGGAACGCAUAGAAGUGAGAAUGCCGGUAUGAGUAGCGAAAGACAGGUGAGAAUCCUGUCCACCGUAAGACUAAGGUUUCCAGGGGAAGGCUCGUCCGCCCUGGGUUAGUCGGGACCUAAGGAGAGACCGAAAGGUGUAUCCGAUGGACAACAGGUUGAUAUUCCUGUACUAGAGUAUGUAGUGAUGGAGGGACGCAGUAGGCUAACUAAAGCAGACGAUUGGAAGAGUCUGUCUAAGCAGUGAGGUGUGAAUUGAGUCAAAUGCUUAAUUCUAUAACAUUGAGCUGUGAUGGGGAGCGAAGUUUAGUAGCGAAGUUAGUGACGUCACACUGCCAAGAAAAGCUUCUAGCGUUUAAACAUACUCUACCCGUACCGCAAACCGACACAGGUAGUCGAGGCGAGUAGCCUCAGGUGAGCGAGAGAACUCUCGUUAAGGAACUCGGCAAAAUGACCCCGUAACUUCGGGAGAAGGGGUGCUGACUUAAAGUCAGCCGCAGUGAAUAGGCCCAAGCAACUGUUUAUCAAAAACACAGCUCUCUGCUAAAUCGUAAGAUGAUGUAUAGGGGGUGACGCCUGCCCGGUGCUGGAAGGUUAAGAGGAGUGCUUAGCGUAAGCGAAGGUAUGAAUUGAAGCCCCAGUAAACGGCGGCCGUAACUAUAACGGUCCUAAGGUAGCGAAAUUCCUUGUCGGGUAAGUUCCGACCCGCACGAAAGGCGUAAUGAUUUGGGCACUGUCUCAACGAGAGACUCGGUGAAAUUUUAGUACCUGUGAAGAUGCAGGUUACCCGCGACAGGACGGAAAGACCCCAUGGAGCUUUACUGCAGUUUGAUAUUGAGUGUCUGUACCACAUGUACAGGAUAGGUAGGAGUCUAAGAGAUCGGGACGCCAGUUUCGAAGGAGACGCUGUUGGGAUACUACCCUUGUGUUAUGGCCACUCUAACCCAGAUAGGUGAUCCCUAUCGGAGACAGUGUCUGACGGGCAGUUUGACUGGGGCGGUCGCCUCCUAAAAGGUAACGGAGGCGCCCAAAGGUUCCCUCAGAAUGGUUGGAAAUCAUUCGCAGAGUGUAAAGGUAUAAGGGAGCUUGACUGCGAGAGCUACAACUCGAGCAGGGACGAAAGUCGGGCUUAGUGAUCCGGUGGUUCCGUAUGGAAGGGCCAUCGCUCAACGGAUAAAAGCUACCCUGGGGAUAACAGGCUUAUCUCCCCCAAGAGUUCACAUCGACGGGGAGGUUUGGCACCUCGAUGUCGGCUCGUCGCAUCCUGGGGCUGUAGUCGGUCCCAAGGGUUGGGCUGUUCGCCCAUUAAAGCGGCACGCGAGCUGGGUUCAGAACGUCGUGAGACAGUUCGGUCCCUAUCCGUCGCGGGCGUAGGAAAUUUGAGAGGAUCUGCUCCUAGUACGAGAGGACCAGAGUGGACUUACCGCUGGUGUACCAGUUGUCUUGCCAAAGGCAUCGCUGGGUAGCUAUGUAGGGAAGGGAUAAACGCUGAAAGCAUCUAAGUGUGAAACCCACCUCAAGAUGAGAUUUCCCAUGAUUAUAUAUCAGUAAGAGCCCUGAGAGAUGAUCAGGUAGAUAGGUUAGAAGUGGAAGUGUGGUGACACAUGUAGCGGACUAAUACUAAUAGCUCGAGGACUUAUCCAA